AUCAUUACACAACUUUGCCAACUCUCAAAACCUGCAAAUCAUCAUCCAAGUUCGCGAAUUUAAUCGAGAACAAAAGUUGGGGAUUGUAACUUCAAGCAUUGACACCAAAUCAUGAAAUCAAGUAUGAGGAUCGGAAGAAGACACAUAGGACGUGCCUUAGAAAAAUAAAUCGGGAUAUUGUCUUAUGUUUUAUACUUUGAGCAUUUUGUCAUGA
rnacentral:lncRNA from 1 species